AGCGCUUGUCAUACUUAAGAGGUUCUGCUUCAUACACAAAACUUAAUGGAUCUUAGAUACAUUUUUUACCACCAACUUUAUUGUUUACAAGGAUUAAUCAAAAAAUUCCCGCAAAAUAAGAACUAUAAUUUCUUUAACAAUUUUAUCAUUUCUAGGACCCAUAUGGAGUAUUUGCUCUCAAAUACACUAACUGUAGCAUGGCCAUAAAACUCCUAUAGCAUUUAAGCUUGAUAAAUGUAAAAUGCCAACUCAAUUACACCAACUAGGUAUCUUUCUACCCAGAAGCAGAUCUAAAAUUUAAAAUUGAUGAAUGUAAAAUGCCAACUCAAUUACACCAACUAGGUAUUCUUUCUACCC
rnacentral:lncRNA from 1 species